GACGAACGCUGGCGGCGUGCUUAACACAUGCAAGUCGAACGGAAAGGCCUUUUCGGAGGUACUCGAGUGGCGAACGGGUGAGUAACACGUGGGUGAUCUGCCCUGCAUUCUGUGAUAAGCCUGGGAAACUGGGUCUAAUACCGGUUAGGACCGCACUUUAGUGUGUGUGGUGGAAAGUUUUUUGGGUGUAGGGUGAGCCCGCAGGCUCUCAGCUUGUUUGGGGGGUAAUGGGCUACCAAGGCGGCGGCGGGCAGCGGGACUGAGGGGGUGGGCGGCCACAUUGGGACCGAGGGAAGGCACAGACGCCUAAGGGUGGCAACAGUGGGGAAUAUUGAACAAGGGGCGCAAGGCUGGUGCAGGAGGGCCGCGGGGGGGAAGACCGGCUUCGGGUUGAAAAAUCGCUUCGCCAGGGACGAAGCGUUUUGUGACGGUACCUGGAGAAGAAGCACCGGCUAACUACGUG
rnacentral:rRNA from 1 species